UCCGAAUUGGUGUAGUGGCUAACAUUUGACGCUCUCAAAACCCUACGGGUGCGGGUGCCGUCAAGCCCGGGGUUCGAUUCCCCGAUUCGGAG
rnacentral:tRNA from 1 species